UGGCUCAGAGUGAACGCUGGCGGCAGGCCUAACACAUGCAAGUCGAACGGCAGCGGGUCCUUCGGGAUGCCGGCGAGUGGCGGACGGGUGAGGAAUGCGUCGGAAUCUGCCUUUUCGUGGGGGAUAACGUAGGGAAACUUACGCUAAUACCGCAUGCGACCCUGGACCGGGAGGUCCUGGGUGAAAGCGGGGGACCUUCGGGCCUCGCGCGGAAAGAUGAGCCGACGCCGGAUUAGCUAGUUGGCGGGGUAACGGCCCACCAAGGCGACGAUCCGUAGCUGGUCUGAGAGGAUGAUCAGCCACACUGGAACUGAGACACGGUCCAGACUCCUACGGGAGGCAGCAGUGGGGAAUAUUGGACAAUGGGCGCAAGCCUGAUCCAGCCAUGCCGCGUGAGUGAAGAAGGCCUUCGGGUUGUAAAGCUCUUUUGUUGGGAAAGAAAAGCUUCCGGCCAAUACCCGGGAGUUCUGACGGUACCCAAAGAAUAAGCACCGGCUAACUUCGUGCCAGCAGCCGCGGUAAUACGAAGGGUGCAAGCGUUACUCGGAAUUACUGGGCGUAAAGCGUGCGUAGGUGGUGAUUUAAGUCUGAUGUGAAAGCCCUGGGCUCAACCUGGGAAUGGCAUUGGAAACUGGGUCACUGGAGUGCGGUAGAGGAUGGCGGAAUUCCCGGUGUAGCAGUGAAAUGCGUAGAGAUCGGGAGGAACAUCCGUGGCGAAGCGGCCAUCUGGACCAGCACUGACACUGAGCACGAAAGCGUGGGGAGCAACAGAUAGAUGCCCUGGUAGUCACGCCUAACGAUGCGAA
rnacentral:rRNA from 1 species